AGCAGCCGCGGUAAUUCCAGCUCCAAUAGCGUAUAUUAAAGUUGUUGCAGUUAAAAAGCUCGUAGUUGAAUUUCGGGAUUCGUCGGUUGGUCGGGCUUCACUGUCCGCACUGACCUGACGGAUUCCUACCUUCUGAAUAACCAGCAUGCUAUUAAGUUAGUGCGUUGGGGAAGCAGAGCUAUUACCUUGAAAAAAUUAGAGUGCUUAAAGCAGGCUUGCGCUUGAAUAGAUUAGCAUGGAAUAAUAAAAUAGGACGGCAUGGUUCUAUUUUGUUGGUUUCUAGGAUCACCGUAAUGAUUAAUAGGGAUAGUUGGGGGCAUUAGUAUUCAAUUGUCAGAGGUGAAAUUCUUGGAUUUAUUGAAGACUAACUUCUGCGAAAGCAUUUGCCAAGGAUGUUUUCAUUAAUCAAGAACGAAAGUUAGGGGAUCGAAGACGAUCAGAUACCGUCGUAGUCUUAACCAUAAACUAUGCCGACUAGGGAUCGGACGAUGUUAAUUUUUUAAUGACUCG
rnacentral:rRNA from 1 species